AGCGAACGCUGGCGGCAGGCUUAACACAUGCAAGUCGAGCGGGCAUCCUUGUGGUGUCAGCGGCAGACGGGUGAGUAACGCGUGGGAACGUGCCCUUCGGUUCGGAAUAACUCAGGGAAACUUGAGCUAAUACCGGAUACGCCCUUUUGUGGAAAGGUUUACUGCCGAAGGAUCGGCCCGCGUCUGAUUAGCUAGUUGGUGAGGUUAUGGCUCACCAAGGCGACGAUCAGUAGCUGGUCUGAGAGGAUGAUCAGCCACACUGGGACUGAGACACGGCCCAGACUCCUACGGGAGGCAGCAGUGGGGAAUAUUGGACAAUGGGGGCAACCCUGAUCCAGCCAUGCCGCGUGAGUGAUGACGGCCUUAGGGUUGUAAAGCUCUUUUCUCCGGGACGAUAAUGACGGUACCGGAGGAAUAAGCCCCGGCUAACUUCGUG
rnacentral:rRNA from 1 species